AUUGAACGCUGGCGGCAGGCUUAACACAUGCAAGUCGAGCGGAGAUGAGGUGCUUGCACCUUAUCUUAGCGGCGGACGGGUGAGUAAUGCUUAGGAAUCUGCCUAUUAGUGGGGGACAACAUUCCGAAAGGAAUGCUAAUACCGCAUACGUCCUACGGGAGAAAGCAGGGGAUCUUCGGACCUUGCGCUAAUAGAUGAGCCUAAGUCGGAUUAGCUAGUUGGUGGGGUAAAGGCCUACCAAGGCGACGAUCUGUAGCGGGUCUGAGAGGAUGAUCCGCCACACUGGGACUGAGACACGGCCCAGACUCCUACGGGAGGCAGCAGUGGGGAAUAUUGGACGAUGGGGGGAACCCUGAUCCAGCCAUGCCGCGUGUGUGAAGAAGGCCUUAUGGUUGUAAAGCACUUUAAGCGAGGAGGAGGCUACUGAGACUAAUACUUUUGGAUAGUGGACGUUACUCGCAGAAUAAGCACCGGCUAACUCUGUGCCAGCAGCCGCAGUAA
rnacentral:rRNA from 1 species